rnacentral:lncRNA from 1 species
GGGGAUGCUGGUUCACUUCCAUUGUUUUCAGUUGAUCUGGGAAUUGACUGCUUAGGUAAAUUCUCUUUGUCUGGUGUUAAAGUGCCUUCAUCAUUCUGCUCUGCCAAUGAAGAUGAUCUGCUUCUUUUGUCAGACAGUGGAGGAGACUUGGGAGGGACCUGAGGUUGGAGGGGGGCGGCCCGGCCCCCAGCGCCGCGCGGCGGCGCCUGCUCCUCACUGAUCUUCUGCUUCAGCUUCUUGAACAUGGCGGCGGGUCCGGCGACGAGGAGAGCGCACUGCCGCCCUCGUCGUCGUCGUCGUCCUCCUUGCUCUCCUCUUCCUCUUCUCUUGCCCCCUGCGGUGAGAUGGCAAUGGGUCUCAGCCCUUGCCCUGCUCGGUCACCACCGCCUCCCCCUUCUCGGGUCCCCCCUCCCUCAGCAGGUGAACGCGUCGCUGCGCCUGCGCGGCCAACGUGGAGCCGAGAGCUUGGAGCGGUACGGGGCGCAGCGAGGCACAAACUUCCCCCGGGAAUUCGCUGCCCUCACCACGCUCGGGCCCGGCCCGGCCCGGCUGCGGGGGUGGUUCAUGGUCCGCCUCCAGGGGCCACGGGCGGGUCCGGGAAGGGAGCGCAGUGACGGUGGUUGGGAGGAUGGGUACGUAAGUACCAAUAAGUGCGUGGUGCGGCGAGACAGCCCAGGUCUGAGUGGGAAUUGGUUAAAGGAUCUCCACCGGAGAGUGGGGAACGGGCUCCCCAGGGCAGUGGUCACGGCCCCAGGCUGUUGGAGUUCAAGGAGUGUUUGGACAAUGCUCUCAUACGUUGGGUUUGGGUUUUGGGUGGUCCUGUGUGGAGGCAGAAUUCGACGAUCCUCGAGGGUCCCUUCCAUCUCGGGAUAUCCUGUGAUCCUGUGACUCACCAGAACACCAGUCAGAGGUUUCUAAACCCUUCCCUUGUGUGAGGAAGCUCUUCUCUGAGGCACCCGUUGCUGGGUGUGUGGAGGUCUGUGGAAAACACACAGGCUUGGUUUCUGCAGCUGGCUGAAAACCUGUCUGCUGGCAGCCACCUCGUGAAACCUUGUGUGUUCUAUUCUAUUUGCAAACCUGAGGUGUGGUAUUUACAAAUAGGGUGUGAAUAAAGCAUCACUGUUGUGGUUUUCUAUUUGAAACUGGGUGGGAGAUGUUCUUGGCCACUUUGCAGAAGCUUUAUUGCUGGAAUUUUUUAUUAUUAUUAUUUUUAUUGUGUGUGUGUGCUCAGUUCUCUCAGUGAGACACAGAGAGCUAUUAAAGCAUCUGCCAUUCAUUCUCCAACAAUGGGAUUAUUUCAAAACUGCCAUGUUGCCAAUGAUGUCAUAUGAAGGCUAGAAAUACAUGAUGGGAUUGCAGGAAAUGCUGAACCAUGAGUCUUCUAUAUAGCACUGCUCUAUGAAGAAUGCACUUAAUCACAAGCAUCCUGACAUGUUUGCACUGAAAUACAUUGCUGUCACCUUUAAGUAAUUUGAGGAAAAAAAGUAUGUAGAUGGAUAGUUUGCUGCACACUGACCACAAAUAGAGCAAGAUAUAUUCACAGCAAAUAUAUAUAUAGUUUUUCCUAAUUUUUUGCUACAUGUGAAAAAGAAUAAUUUUCAGCAGUCUAUUUAGCAGUAGAUAAACUGAAAGACUGGUUGUGAUACUUAUGUAUAGGUAGACUUGGAAACAGAGGUCUAGGGAAGAGUUUCUGAGACUAACAAGGCAAAAAUACCUGAAGAGCGGCCCACAAGGAAAUGAGGUAGAGUUGGUGAUUAUAUUUAACUAUUUAACUGUGGUUUUAGAAAGGAAAAAUUUGCUACUUGUGUCAGAUGGCUUCUAUUCCCUCUAAACCUGGUAUGCAGUAGCACAGACCAUUCCCAGGCAGCAAGUGAGGGCACUGCCCAAGGAGUGCUCUGGGAAACUCUUAACUACUGCACCUCCAGCCUCACCGCCAUCCUCCCAACACAUCCCUGGUUACCACACCUCUGUGCUUUCUCACAGUGCUGCUUGGUCUCUGCAGCACCUGUAAUUACACUCUAAUUUUAAAUAUGUCACUAGAUGUACUGUGUGAAUUUGAUGGCUAGAUGCAUAUUAAAAGGAAACUAACUCAUACAGUCAUCAGAUAGAAAAGCAGAGCUUACAGCUGCCUUUUGUCUUGCCGGGCAUUAUUAUCCUGGUGGACUAUCUGCCCAGAAAUCAGUGAGAUAAGUCAAGUUCUUCUUCCUUUCUCUAACCGUGUCUUCUACUGCUAUUGCCACUGCCUGCCCUUAGUUUUGUUAUUUUUCCUUUACUUUUUUUUUUUUUUUAGCAUUUAUAGUUUUGUUCAUUCUUUCGUAAAAUGUACAAAACAUGAAAGUAAGCUCUGUAUUAUUUCCUUGGAAAAUUUAGUUGUGUUCUGAAAAUAUAUAUAUUCAAACUCUGAAGAUAUUAUCUGAUAAUUCCACAAAAUAUGUUCAUAAACCUUCACAUUUUGUAAUGUCUGGGCAAGUUUGAUUAAAACAUAUUGCAAUAUACAAAGAAUUUACUCUGAGCUCAGUGAAGUUCUGGGGGAAUUGUCUGGAAUCACAUUAAUUCCCACCCCUUCUGGGUGACAAAACCCUUUAUGUAAUUGAAUUUUACUUUGUUUCUAGAGGGUAAGUCACAAGAUAAAUGUAUUUCUGCACAGUUCUGGAUAUGGUAAAUAAUCAAGAAUAAAAGUCUGUUCCCAAGUGAAUCUGUAGCAGUUGUUAAUGGAUUUCCGUGGGAAUGGAAACUGAGCAUUAAUGUAAAAGACUGUGUUUUCAUAGCAGUCUAGACUUCCCUAAUUGUCAGUGACAGGGGCCCACACAUCCCUGCAGUCCCAUUCCUCACCUUGUGCUAGAGCCAGUGCUUGUCAGGCCUUUCCUCCAGCUGCUGCUGUAUGUUGAUUUUGCAGAAAACUGAACUGACAAAAGAGCAAAUAACUUUCUGCUGACUUACUGUGCUGAGUCUCUUGACUGCAGGGUAGACUGAGGCAGCCAAAAGCUGGAUAGCUUUACAUUGCUGGAGUUCUUAUUUCAGAUCACUCAGGAAUGUAUGGUCUUUGCUGAGCAAUUUGCUUAAUUUUAAACUGAAGUAAUCCCACUAAGUGCUAUUUCAAGGUUAGCUAACAAGCGGCUCUGUUUCUCAAUCAGUAACUUAUCUUGGCUGCUAAUGACAGUAUUCAUGAGAUUGCCUCUCGUCAGCCUAACCUGAUUUUCAAAAUGCUCUCUUUAAGUUAUUGCAGCUCUGUGGAAAUCACAAGAAAGCCCUGGGGAUGAAUUAUGAAUGUGGCUUUCAAUACUCUUUUCCACACCUCAACUCAAAUUACUUUGUGAAAAAUGUAUGAAUUUGCUAACAGCUAGUACUUUCAAUCCACUCUUCAAUCACAAAUAUGGAAAGACAUAAAAGAGGGAAGCACUACAUAUGUAUCACUUCUGAUAACUUUUUAUAUUGGUUCAUAUUUUUUGAAAGGAGGUUUGUCAUCAAGAAUGCUUGAAUUUUUCUUUAUAUCAUCAUCACGUUGCUAAAAGAAUGUCUGAUAAAAACAUUACUAUUACUCCUACUGAAUCUUAUUUGACAUAGAAGAAAUUGCUAUAAAAACAGAUUAAUGUGAACUGGUAAUAACAUAUGUAAGCAGAAGGGAGCACUAACCAAACAACAGGAGUUAGUGCUCAGAGCUGACAAUGCAUGUUGCUGCUCUUUACAUACAGCUUAUGGAAUGUUGCAUUUUGUUGCAACUGCAGUGUUUACUACUCAUAACAUUGAAAAUAUUAAUGUUGCUAUUAAGGCAGUUAUGCAGUGGCAUAUACACAGGUGCAUAGGUAGUCAGUAUCAAUCAGGAAGUCUUUCAAUCUUUAUUUCAACACAAAGGUUAUAAACAACCACACAUUAUCUGAUAGUACAAUGGAAACGGUGAUGACUUUUUAUAGAUGCAGCUUACAGAGUGAGAAGCACCACAGAAUCACAGAAUUGUAGGGGUUGGAAGGUUCCUCCAGAGAUCAUCGAGUCCAACCCCCCUGUAAAGCAGGCCCCCUACAGCAGGCUGCACACGUAAAGAAGUAGUUAUGCAAGAUGCAUCUUUUAAUUACAUUACUGUGACUAGAACCCUACCAGUUUUAAAAUGAAAGCUGGACUUAGUGAAUAGUCAGAGUAUGUCUUCAGCCUGAUUUGACGGAUAGCUUUACUUUUCUAUCUAAAUAUCAUGACUUUGAACUACCAGCAGAUGUCAGUGUUCCAGAAGACUACGACUACCUCUGUAGUCAUUGUCAGUAAUAUAAAUACAAAACUAUACUGGCAGUGGAAUGAGAGUUCUAAAAUACGCAGAGCAGAGAAUUGCAAAAGAAACAAACAAGUAAAAACCUGCAACAACCAUUUAACCAUCUAAUCCUCAUACGUACGAAGAACAGACUGCUCUAAGUAACCUGCUGGAUACCUAAUUAAUAAUGGAAAAUGCACAAAGCUAUGUAAAGAGCAAGGGCAGUGCCUGAUAAAGCUGAAAGACAACCUAGAAGUUGUAGGCUGUUGUUUCAACUGAGUUGUUUCAACUGAGAAGGCAAGAAACUCACUUCAGAGUGAGGAAAAGCUGACAGGCAUUGCUGCUCUGCACCUUGGAAGAGAAAGGAAGCUUUCUGCUCUAGUGGGAAAGUUGUUCAGAGGUCACAUUUCAUGCAACAUGUCUCUCUUCCCAAAAGUACAAAGUGCAAGCUCAGGCUUUGAAGGCUAUGAAGAGCCACUGGGUAAACUGAAUCACUACUUACGACUGCAAGACAAGGAAAAUUAUCUGGAUUCAUGCAAUUGAAUAAUACUCUCUUAAAACAAAAAUAAUAAUUUUAUCUCUAUCUUGUUUAAGUGGCAUUCCCAUUCUGCUUUGUCUAAAUUGUCAAAACUCUUAACUUGUAUUUCACUGUAAUUGCUGCACUUCCUUUAAAAUUCCUGGAUGCCAUGAAAAGGGAGACAAGGGUGCUAUAAAACAGAAGAUUCUUCAGAUCAAUGGUGAUACCAGUCACGAGUUCAGUUUUAAAUGAGCUGGCAGCAGAUUCUCACUUAAAUAUUUUAUUUGUUUUUUUGUUUAUUUACUUAUUGCAUGUACAAUAUAAAGACAUCCACAUGGGCAGGGUCCUUAUAUCUAAAAGAGCAAAGAACUUGCUUCUGAAGACAGUGUCUUUAUGGCAGAUCAAUAGGUUUGUUGGUUUCAAGGAGUCCUCAGUUUGCUUCCCAGCACUGCCCAGCUCAUCAACCCUGGGCAAGCUGUUUUGCAUUUCUAUUCUUCUGUUGGUCUUUUAGGCAAGAAAGGGAUGCUACCCAAUUUCUUGCAAACACAUGGUUAGAUUUUCUCUUUGCUUUCCCAAUUGCUGGUAAAAAGGUCAUCCUUUUUAAGAAUACUGAUAUACAGAUUCAUAGAUUCAGUUAUUUCCCUGCUAGGAUUUUUCUGAAUCUAUGAUCGUAUUUUCCCUUAAGGAGUGUCUUUAAGAAAUGGCAAAUGGUUUUGCACAAUAAUUUUCAGGCAGCAGCGCUUAGAAUACACGCAAAUAUCUCAAGACAGAAAGGAUAUUCAGCUGGGAAGAGCUAAAAAUACAUAUAUGUAAUCUGUGUGAUCCCUAUAGCUAAAAUGUGGAGCUUCUAAAACCAUAUUACUGGAGAUGCUACAAUAAGCAGAAUUCACUGCUAAAUUUCUGAAUAUAAUACAACUAGGAACACAACCAAUUUCAGAUUAAGAAAAUAUGCUGGUACUGGUAUAUUGUUGCUUGAGUAUUGUCAUACUCCAAAUUCCCUACUACUCUUAGUUUUUAAAUGCUUUGGACAGAAGUGUUUCUUCUCCUCCUUAACUCCUUUUUCUAGCUUCAAGGAUUUACUGCAAACUUUGCCACCCACUGAGUAGGGUGGUAGAGCUGGUUGAAGAGACCCAAGGCCUUUAGGCCUGAAAUUCCUUUCAUGUCUGACCUAUUUCUCAGUGACAGGCCCAUAAGGCACUUCUAGAAAAAGAAUUACUUACCUUUCAGCAGAAGAAAGUGGAUACUUUAUCACCUCCACUAAACUACUACAAGAACAGUGUUAUUAUUCAGCAUUUAUUUAAAUGCAUAAUAUCUGCUUUUGUUGAAGUGACUUAGAAACAAAUGCCAGGUAAGUCUGAUGAUGUGCCCAUAAAAUAAACACAAGCCAUUUUACAGAAGAGCAAAGUGAUUUCUGGAAGACAAGUUCUACAGGUAUUGCACAGCAACUGCAUAGUAGGUAUGGGUUUGAAUGGAUUGAUGCUAUUUUCAGAUUUAUAAUUAAAAAUAUUUUUAAUCCCAUGGUCUAGAAAACAUCCUUACUUAUGUACACGCAGAAUGAAAAGAGGUUCUUCCUCUUGCUGUAUUCUCAUGCUAUUUCAUAAUCUCCAGGGGUCGGUACUGGGGCCUGUCUUGUUCAAUAUCUAUAUUGAUGACCUGGAUGAGGGCACUGAGUGCACCCUCAGUAAGUUUGCAGAUGACACCAAGUUGGGAGGAGGUGUCGAUCUGCAUGGGGGAUCCCUGAGCUGGGCCCAGUGGAAUGAAGUUCUACAAGACCAACUGCCAGGUCCUGCCCUUUGGCCCCAACAAACCUAGCCAACACUACAGGCUUGCUUGGGGCAGAUUGGUUGAAAGACUGUGCAGAAGAAACAGACCUGGGGGUGUUGGUUAACACUCAUCUGAACAUGAGCCAGCAGUGUGCUCAGGUGGCCAAGAAGGCCAGUGGCAUGAUGGCUUGUUUAAGAGGUAGUGCUGCUAGCAGGAGCAGGAGGUGAUCAUCCCUCUGUGCUCUGCUCUGGUGAGGCCACACUUUGAGUACUGUGUUGGAGCAUAGGUCUUAUGAGGAGCGGUUGAGGGAACUGGCAUUAUUUAGUCUGGGGAAGAGAAGGCUCAGGGGAGACCUUAUAGUUCUACAACGAUCUAAAGAGAGAUUGUGGAGAGGUGGAGGUUGGCCUCUUCUCUCAUGUAACUAAUGAUAGGACCAGAGAGAAUGGCCUCAAGUUGUGCCAGGGGAGAUGCAGGUUGGAUGUUAGGAAAAGCUUCCCUGAAAGAGUGGUCAGGUGCUGGAAUGGGCUGCCCAGGAAAGUGGUGGAGCCACCAUCCCUGGAGAUGUUCAAGAAACACUCAGAUGUUGUACUGAGGGACAUGGUUUAGUGGGAAAUAUUGGUGAUAGGUGAAUGGUUGGACUGGAUGAUCUUGGAGGUCUUUUCCAACCUUGAAGAUUCUAUGAUUCUAUUCUAUAAGAAUGAUGGUCACUGGCAUGACUAUUAUCUCCCCUUGUUAGCAAAGAAAUACUGCCUGGCAUGAAACACUUCUUGACUUUAGAAAAUUGUUACUUAAAAGGAGGUUACCAUCAAACUGCUCAGAGUGCUCCAAGCAAAAAUGUUAUUUUGCAUUUUCACCUGUUAACAUGUGUAAUUUCAAAGUAAUCUCUAACUGUAGUUAUCCAAUUGUUCUCUCAGACCUCAUUCACUUUAUUUUGUUACUUUGAUUCCACACUCCUACUUCAUACACAUGAAGUUUUUCCCUGCUUAUUCCUAAGGGGCCAGAGACAUUUUGUUUGGCUUUAACAAAUGCAAAUUGCAGCUCACAGCACAGUUAUUUUUAAUUAUUAAUAGAAUAUAUUCCUCAUUAAUGAGUGCAUCUAUUAAAAUGGACCAGAGUUGUACAGACUUAAAAACUGCCUCAAAAAACAAAACAAACAACAACAACAAAAAACAACCAAAAAUCACCUAUCACCAGAAAACAGUGACAAGUCUUCAUAGAAGUAUCUCUUCUGAUAAUUUUCUUCAAACUACGUAGACAAUCCUAAGGCUCUGAAUGGAGAGGGAGUGUUAAUCUCAGAGCUGCAAUUUUAUACUUGAUUUAUAGUAAAGGCAUCAUGAAUUCAAACUGUCGUAGCAAGAAAAACUAAUCUGACCUCAACUUGUCCUCCAGGAUCUGAAACUUCAUUUGGAAUAAUAUCUGUGGGAGGUGAGAUUUUUCCUUGACAAAAGAGAUGCUGAGAUGAUGGGGACUGCACCAGUUUUAAACUGUAUUCAUUGUCAUUGGGUGAGUCAGAGGUCAGGAUCUGAAAGUUCAGAUCUAGAAAAAUAUUAGCAAUUCUACAAUUUUGUUUGGAACUACAACAUCAAGCAAACUAUUAUAACAUUAGGAAAAAAAACAAAGCAAGACAACAGUGUCUGGCUUGAUUUAAAGGAUUUUGAGCAAUUUUUAUUUCUAACACUGCUAUGUCCUCCUUAUGAAACCAGGAGCCAUACUGUGAGCUUAUUCUAAUUUAGCAACAGUAUGCAUGAGUAACGCAACCAAAGAAAGUCACUGUGCAAGUCACUGCUUACUAAGGAGUUUGCAAUAUGACUUCUACUCUAUGAAUCUUUUAUUUUAAACACGUGAUAAUCACAGAAGGGAAACAGUGACUUCUUUAUCAGAGAUGAAGGCCAGACUUUGCACUCAGGCUGGAGGGCCUGCUGCGGGUAUUUGGGUCAGAAUACACAGAACAUGUUGAAACAACGAGAUGUAAUUCUCCUGGUAAGAACUACAGUGGAGAUGAAAUUCAGUUUUUGAUUUCCAAGUUUAAGAUGCCAGGUAUUGUUCUUUUAUUAUUUUACCUUUAUUCAGUUCAUCCCUGUAACUAUUCAAAAUAGGAAGAAAUGUUUUUUGUACAUCAUGUAGCUCCCUAUAUAUCUGUUCAACUCAUUCUUCAAUAUAAACUACUGUGAUCCACAGC